rnacentral:rRNA from 1 species
CCUACGGGGGGCAGCAGUGAGGAAUAUUGGUCAAUGGGCGCAAGCCUGAACCAGCCAAGUCGCGUGAGGGAUGACGGUCCUAUGGAUUGUAAACCUCUUUUGUCGGGGAGCAAGGCCCGCCACGUGUGGCGGGAAGGAGAGUACCCGCAGAAAAAGCAUCGGCUAACUCCGUGCCAGCAGCCGCGGUAAUACGGAGGAUGCGAGCGUUAUCCGGAUUUAUUGGGUUUAAAGGGUGCGUAGGCGGAAGGUUAAGUCAGCGGUCAAAUGUCGGUGCUCAACACCGGCCUGCCGUUGAAACUGGUCGUCUUGAGUGAGCGAGAAGUAUGCGGAAUGCGUGGUGUAGCGGUGAAAUGCAUAGAUAUCACGCAGAACUCCGAUUGCGAAGGCAGCAUACCGGCGCUCAACUGACGCUGAGGCACGAAAGCGUGGGGAUCGAACAGGAUUAGAUACCCCUGUAGUC